AUGGACGCAAGUCUGAUGGAGCAACGCCGCGUGAGUGAAGAAGGGUUUCGGCUCGUAAAGCUCUGUUGGUAGUGAAGAAAGAUAGAGGUAGUAACUGGCCUUUAUUUGACGGUAAUUACUUAGAAAGUCACGGCUAACUACGUGCCAGCAGCCGCGGUAAUACGUAGGUGGCAAGCGUUGUCCGGAUUUAUUGGGCGUAAAGCGAGUGCAGGCGGUUCAAUAAGUCUGAUGUGAAAGCCUUCGGCUCAACCGGAGAAUUGCAUCAGAAACUGUUGAACUUGAGUGCAGAAGAGGAGAGUGGAACUCCAUGUGUAGCGGUGGAAUGCGUAGAUAUAUGGAAGAACACCAGUGGCGAAGGCGGCUCUCUGGUCUGCAACUGACGCUGAGGCUCGAAAGCAUGGGUAGCGAACAGGAUUAGAUACCCUGGUAGUCCAUGCCGUAAACGAUGAGUGCUAAGUGUUGGGAGGUUUCCGCCUCUCAGUGCUGCAGCUAACGCAUUAAGCACUCCGCCUGGGGAGUACGACCGCAAGGUUGAAACUCAAAGGAAUUGACGGGGGCCCGCACAAGCGGUGGAGCAUGUGGUUUAAUUCGAAGCAACGCGAAGAACCUUACCAGGUCUUG
rnacentral:rRNA from 1 species